ensembl:lncRNA
CUCGGGUCCUACGGUCACCAGACUGCGGGGCGGGCGGGCCUCAGCAUGCAGGCGCAGUAACCUCAAAACCCCGAAGCUGGAACCUUUCUUUCCUGGUAGCUGGCAACUUCACCUCUGCCCUGGGCUUGAUUUUCCUGACCACUCCUCCCCAUCUUCUUUGUCUUCAAGGUUUUCCCUGUCCCUGCACUGCUCGUUUGGUCACCUUUUGAGAGAAAAGAACACUGAUCCCAUUAAAAGGCCCUGUUGUUUGCCAGAUGAGGUCACCAGACUGGUAAGUAGCAAGGCUGGGACUCCACUAGGAAUAUCUGACUUUAAAAGCCAUGUUCCUGUCACCCAGAAUGCACAUGCUGAUGCAGCUGAACAGAAGAGGGGAGCUGAGACGCGUCAAAAGAAGGCCUCUCUGUGGAAGGAGGAUGUGUGUCCACCCACCAAGAAGGUUUUGAUGGUCAGUGUCUGCGUAUCCAGCUGCUGGGGUGAAGAGAUUUGGAAAUCACUGAACAUUCCUGUUGGGAGCUUUCCAAGCCCUUUUGGGAACCGGCAACAGCGCUUGUCUGGGGAAAUUAGUUUUGCACUUUCACAGAGUGAGAAAUUCCUCAGGGGCAUUCUUGUUCUUGGGAAGAGAAAUCAAACCCAGCGCAUUCCUUCAGGGCCCAAGCCCGUAGUAAAGCAUACCGAGUCCAGUUCGGGUGGUCCAGUUUGGGGCCUUGGGGUGGGGCAGGCGCAGCAGAGUUCUGCGAAUUUCACCUGUGACUAAGUCCCAACCCCCGCGCCUGGCGCGAGCUUGAGAUUUCAGGGGAUCGUGUUACCAGUGUGUAAACACCUUGAGUAAUGGCCAACGCUCCCAAGCGACCAUGGAGGAUCUCAAAGCCUUCCUAUCUUCCUAGAAACCUUGGCGGCCCGGCCGGCUGUUUGCUGUCUGAUGCAACAGUUUGCAACGCGGUUCUGGGAGCCGAGCCUGCCGCGGGGCGCUGGGCGUCCCGCUCACGCGCAUGCGCGGGCUGCGGCCCGCCGGGUCGGGCGGGGGAGAAGCUUUUCACCAGAUGUGCGGGGGGCAGGGCGGACGGGGAGACCUUUGGCAGCUCGCGCCGGCGAUCUGAGCUUAAUUAAACUUCUCCCGAGGCACUGGCUGACUGAUUGACCCAGUGAUCCAAAAAAAUCACAGAGGCCCGAAUCGCCCUAAACGAGGCGGGAGAGCGAAGUUGGGGAGUUGGCUUUCGUUUUUCAGAGCUGGCUGGGGUUUUGGAUUCGGCCUUCCUUCCCCGAGCCCCGCAAUCCACAAUGCUUUCGGGGUUCCAGAGUCCAGGAGGGCGUCAGGCCUCGUUUGUGUGGGCCCUCCCACCGAUUUCUCACAGAAGGAACAACAACGGUUGUAGAGGGGAAAAGAAGGGGAAGAGAGGCAGUUUUGAUAGCAUCUAGAUCGGUAUCUUUCUUGCUUCAUUUCUCCACCCUUGCGGUGUGCCUUAGAAGGUUUUAUAAGCAGAAACGAACAUGGCAUCGUGGAUAAUUUUCCAAGUUUUUGAGCCAUUUAGGUAUUCCUCUAUGAUUUUCUUCCAUACCCACAUUCUUCCUAUAUUAUAUAAAUUGACUUCUAUUAACUUUCCUUAUUUUUAAAAUUAUCUUUAAAAUCAAUUCCCUUUUUAACAUAGCCUUGUCCUAAGCAACAUUAGGAAAACCACAGCUUUGAUGUGCUAGUCAUAUAUGUUAAUACACUUGAAAAUAAACUCAUAACUAUUCAAAUUUAAAAAUGUGUU